AUGGAAAGGCUGAUCCUAAGUUAGUAUAGGGUUAGGAAAUAUUGAGCAAGAUAAGCUUGCUACAAGUACAAUAGUUUUCCGAAGCUUUGACAGUAUGUCUUAGUGUGAAAGUUUUUCCGAGUUGAGUAGCUUGGCUAGGAAGCCAGCCCAUUUUGUAGGAAAAACUUUCAUAUCUAUGAUCUUUCAAACUGUCCGACUAA